CUGACUGCUAUCGGAUUGGUACUAAGCCAUGCGAGUCAUUGUAGCAAUACAAGGCGGACGGCUCAGUAACACGUAGUCAACCUAACUCGUGGACGUGGAUAACCUCGGGAAACUGAGAAUAAACCACGAUAGAUCAUAUUGCCUGGAAUGGCUUAUGGUCCAAACAGUUUACUGCCAUGGGAUGGGACUGCGGCCUAUCAGCUUGUUGGUGAGGUAAUGGCCCACCAAGGCGAUUAGAGGUACGGGCUCUGAGAGGAGUAGCCCGGAGAUGGGUACUGAGACACGGACCCAGGCCCUAUGGGGCGCAGCAGGCGAGAAACCUUAGCAAUGUGCGAAAGCACGACUGGGUCAGUCCAAGUGAUUCCUGAUAAAGGAGUCUUUUGCCUGUCCUAAAAGCACAGGUGAAUAAGGGGUGGGCAAGUCUGGUGUCAGCCGCCGCGGUAAUACGAGCACCUCGAGUGGUCAUGACGUUUAUUGAGCCUAAAGCAUCCGUAUUCUGCUCUGCAAGUCUUCGGUUAACUCCACCUGCUCAACACAUGGGCCGCUGGAGAUACUACAGAGCUAGGGAGUGGGAUAGGCAGACGGUAUUCAGUGGGUAUGGGUAAAAUCCUCUGAUCAGUUGAGGACCACCAGUGGCGAAGGCGGUCUGCCAGAACACGUUCGACUGAGAGGGAUGAAAGCUGUCGGAGCAAACCGGAUUAUAUACACGGGUAGUCCCAGCUGUCACCGAUGCAUACUCGGUGAUGCACUGGCUUAUGGCCAAUGCAGUGCCUCAAGGAAGCCGUUAGACUUGCCGCCAGUGAACUACCGACGCUAGUCUGAUACUUAGACGAAUUGGCGUGAGAGCAC
rnacentral:rRNA from 1 species